rnacentral:tRNA from 1 species
GGAUGUGGCUCAAGCGGUAGCGUGCUCGCCUGGCAUGCGUGCAGCACUGGGUUCGAUCCUCAGAACCACAUACA